rnacentral:rRNA from 1 species
GAUGAACGCUGGCGGCGUGCUUAACACAUGCGAGUCGAACGAAGCACUUUAACCUGAUUCUUCGGAUGAAGGUUUUUGUGACUGAGUGGCGGACGGGUGAGUAACGCGUGGGUAACCUGCCUCAUACAGGGGGAUAACAGUUAGAAAUGACUGCUAAUACCGCAUAAGACCACAGAGCCGCAUGGCUCGGUGGGAAAAACUCCGGUGGUAUGAGAUGGACCCGCGUCUGAUUAGGUAGUUGGUGGGGUAACGGCCUACCAAGCCAACGAUCAGUAGCCGACCUGAGAGGGUGACCGGCCACAUUGGGACUGAGACACGGCCCAAACUCCUACGGGAGGCAGCAGUGGGGAAUAUUGCACAAUGGGGGAAACCCUGAUGCAGCGACGCCGCGUGAGCGAAGAAGUAUUUCGGUAUGUAAAGCUCUAUCAGCAGGGAAGAAAAUGACGGUACCUGACUAAGAAGCACCGGCUAAAUACGUG